AAUAUUGGACAAUGGGGGCGACCCUGAUCCAGCCAUGCCGCGUGUGUGAAGAAGGUCUUCGGAUUGUAAAGCACUUUAAGUUGGGAGGAAGGGCUUUAGGCUAAUACCCUGAAGUUUUGACGUUACCAACAGAAUAAGCACCGGCUAACUCUGUGCCAGCAGCCGCGGUAAUACAGAGGGUGCAAGCGUUAAUCGGAAUUACUGGGCGUAAAGCGCGCGUAGGUGGUUCAGUAAGAUGGGUGUGAAAUCCCCGGGCUUAACCUGGGAAUUGCUUUCAAAACUGACGAGCUAGAGUACGGUAGAGGGUAGUGGAAUUUCCUGUGUAGCGGUGAAAUGCGUAGAUAUAGGAAGGAACAUCAGUGGCGAAGGCGACUACCUGGACUGAUACUGACGCUGAGGUACGAAAGCGUGGGUAGCGAACA
rnacentral:rRNA from 1 species